ensembl:lncRNA
UCUCAUCCAGUUUUAGUUUUAUUUCUCUUUAGAAAAAAAAAAAAAAAUCUCUUCACUUCAGUACAUACACAUUGCACAAGGCAGGGAGCCAUUUUUUUAAACUGACUUUUUUAAAACCAUUUUUUCCCCAAAUCAGAGUUAAAAGCAGCAGCGGAACUGACGCUGACAACCAGCACUGGGAUUCCCAAAACUUCCCAAAUGCAGGCGAGCCAAGGUGAACAACCAGCACUGAAAUCCAGCAGACAGAAAACAGGCACCCCCCCACCCCCACUGAGGCCACCAUAGAGCAUCCAAACAAGCUUUGAUUCAACAACUACAUCUUUCAUCACCAUCUAAUGUUAAGUUGAACUUAGAUGAAGAAAUAACCUUGGUAACGAAGUAAAUGGAAAUGUAUACAAACAAGUGGCAAUAAAUGUAAAAUAUAUAUAUCUCCAAUUGGCAAAUUUAACACAAUUACAUGUUAAUGUCACAAAACUUAGUAUCUAGUUAAUCUAAUCAAUCACAGCACAAUUAGCCAACAGUUUUAAAUUACAGCCCCAAUAGACUUAUUGGCAAAGGUAAUAACUCUGUCUUGUCUUGAUGCAUUUUCUGUCUGCAUUGGGAUUGUGAGUCGUGCUUGGGAAACCUGGCCCUGAACAGUUAAAACAACUUUAUCAACGGACAGAUUGCUGGUGUAGAAUAUAUCAUAUUAAUAUUUACAAAAUCUCUGUACAAUCAAAUACACAAUAUCUGCCCCGCCAGUCAAGCAUUCCAGAAAACAGUUAAAAGGCUGGAUGUCUUCUCGUACCAGGAUGUUCGACCAGAUUAACAACCUCUGAGGAAAUGUUAGGAAAAUGGUGUGAAAGAUACUAGACAAGCAAAAGGUCAGAGGAACAUGUCAUCACAGUGGCUUGUAUUUAAUAUUAGGUUUCACUAACACUACAGAGCUCCAGGACAUUUAAAAGACUUUUUUUUCCCCUCAAACAUCCAUCCAACAUGAUAGACUGGAUUAGGAGAACAUCUGGCACCAUUCAAAAUAACUGUCACACACACAUCUGGAAAAAAAAAAAAAAAAAAAGCUUCUUCUGCUGCAUAAUUGGGUCUGAAACAUCCUGAUUACGAGCAUCCACCUCGAUUAGUGUUAACUAAAUCAGCAGGACAGAAACUUCAGGAGGAGAAACUCUCUCUCCAUCAAGAUUCAAACAGGAUUUCUCAGAAGGAAAAGCUAACAGGGUUGCAUAUCUUUUAGAGUAACAUCAAGUCAAAUCAACUCUGGUAGGUAUUAAAGAAGAGAUGUGUCUUUGUUAGACGGGACAAAGAUAUCAACAGACGAAAUACUGCAUAGCUUGUUGGUUAGAUUUCACUAUGAUGACAUAACAUUUGCAGUUCAGUGGACACUGUAAGCCAAGGCUCUGUACAGUACAUAGAAAUACAUACUGGUCUGAAUACAGAUAGUCCCUCCCUAUGGGAAAUAAAACACCAAAAAAGUGUUAGUGAUGUUCAAAUAGCAAACUCUCUAAAUUCAGACUGCUGUGAAAGCAGACAGACACCCACACUGAUCACUUAUGAUAACAGAAAAACCCACCACUUAGUAGUUAAUUUCCUUAAAAGGACUUAAUUCUUGUUUCACAUUUUAUCUACAGCAUGAUGCAGUUCCAUAAACAUUUUAUCUGAAAAAUUUAAAACCCAGCAAGUGUUCUCAUUAGAAACAGUGAAGCUGCAACAGUAUGCAACUACACCAGUUAGUUUCAACAAUACUAAACGUAUCUAAACUCAAUAUUAUCCCAUAAUCCCACAACAGUCUAUAACACCAGCUUCAAAUUUCUGGAGUAUGAAAAUUAUGUAAUAGCUUGCAAUUGUUAGUGGGGAUAUAGGGGUAAACAGUAAAAUUAACAACAUAUCAUUUAUGUUCUACAGUGACUAUGUAUCAUCUCAAAAUGAUUCCCCUAACACCAAGUAAAAAGAUACAACCACUGGUUUCCAUAAAAAGAUGUUCCCCUGUGCUGCGAAACAAUGUUCUGCAGGACAGUGGUGAUAUGUGUUCAAAAAGUAAAACUUGCUAAGAGAAACUCAACGCUUUCCCACAGAUUUCUGCACAUUGACAGAUUAUGAUGGCUGGAAGCAAUUACACUGGUCUGUUGGGCCAACUGAAAUCAAUGGAAACAUCAAUAGAGAACAAAACAAACAAAAAACAGGCAUUUUAGACAUUUUGAAAUCACACACACACACACACACACACACACACACACACACACACACACACACACACACACACACACACACACACACACACACACAAAGAUGCCAACUCACAUUAUCACUCCUUACUGGCCACAAAAAAAUAAGGAUAAAAAAAAAAGACAGUCACAACCUCUAUCAAAAUAAAAUAAAAAACAAAGGAAACGAAAGCUAGCACUGAAGGUUAAUGUUGUUUAUGUACCAAGAUCCACUUGGGACUGCAGGUGGACACUUUGAUAUUCAGACUCUGAAUGGGUAUUAACUGCAAUGAAUCUUCUGUUACAGUACAAAUGAAAAGAAAAAAAAAGCAAGAGUAAAACUUAAAACUUGUAAAAAUGAGGUUAAGUAGCAGGGAACUGAAGGGCACAAACACGGUGCAACCAGGCUAACACAUGUUAAAAGGCAAAUGAUUUGGUUUUUUAGAUUAAAUGAAGGGGUGGCACAAGGUAUCAAACUCCAGCCUGAUUUUAAAGCAGACUGGCACCUGACAGAUUGAGGUCACUAAUUAACAUCCAAACAUCAGUUGGUACAAGGCAAAGGGGGGAAAACAGAAAAAGAAAAACACACAGAGAAGAAAGCAUAGCUUGUGUCACAGUUUGCAGUGUCAUCACAGCUAAAAGAAAACAUCAGGGAACAUUGAUCAUUUUCGAGGAAGCAAUUGCAAAACCUCUCUUCACAAUAUUAUGCCUCCAUUAUUUCACUACACUAUUACUCAAAACACUUGCAUAAGUGACGGCAUUUACAUUGAUCAAGCCAUUACAAAGCUUAUAAAGCCUGUUAACCUUUCAGCAGAAAUUGAAUACCAACUUUUAGUAUGAAUCACACUAGCUGGACUACAAUGAGACAGAUAACCCAAACCAUUUGUCAAAAAAAAAAAAAAAAAAAAAAAAAGUACAAUUUUCUAUUUUGAUUCUGUUCAAUCACCAAAUGGGAAACAAUGAGGCAUUUUCAAUUCACAAGAAAAUCUUUUUAGAUGUUAUUGCACUAUGGGUGUCAGUUUAAAAUAAACAUUUCACAAAAAGUGGCCUAUGAGCCUA